GGGACAGGGUCGGUGUUCGCCCGGAGGAGCACGGCUGGGACGUGCUAGCACGGGGCAGGUCGCUGAGGGUGGAGCUCAGAGGAGGAGCUGGGGUGACACGUUCUCAGCAGAGCUUGCAUGUGAAACUGCAGGAGUCUCCUGAACAUGCUGCUGCUUUCCCUGUGCGUGUCUGGUCGUUUCGUGAUCCAAGUUUAAUACCGCGGUGUGGUGUGAUGUGUCCUGGGGCCGGAGCAAUGCUGGCCGUGUUUGCCAUGCCUUGUUGCAGGUUGGCAGCUGGAGCAGGGGGACUCGUGGAGCAGUGGCUGCAGGGACAGGACUGAGGUGGGGACACUGCUGUGUUUUCCUUCUGUACGCCAUGGAGCAUCAUCCAAGGUCAUAUUUAUGCCUGUUUGCUAGAAACCAAGGAAAGGUCACUUGCCAAGGUCAUCUGGUGCCGAACGAGUCUCUCCAGUCCAAAUACAUUUUUAAUUCCGUCAUUCCCUGUAAAGCAAACAAGUAGGAAUUGUUGAUGUAAGAUAGAUGUUUGGGGUCAUGCCAGCACUAUAAUUACCCAGUGACAGGGUGUUAGGAAUUAGGGAUAUGGGAGAUGGCAGAAAGAGCUGGCAGCCGUGGAGGACAGGAGUGCAGCUGGGCCAGGCACUUCAGCAGUGGAUGAGGGGAAAAGCAGAGAUCAAGGUAAGGCAGUGCAGUGUAUGACACAAAGCAUGAUUGGUGUGUUCUCAGUUGUAAUACAGGAAAAUCUCAGGGGUGUCUUCAUUUUUUUCCCUUUCUUUUUGACUGCACUGUGAUUUGGGGAAUGGAGGUUGAUUUGUAACAGACUACUUUUUUUCCAACAAUCCAGUGAGAAAAUGACAGCAAAACUAGGCUGUAGCAUCUGUGUUGGAAACAAAUUAAAUCCAAGAUUAAAGUCUGAUUUUGUGAAGACAAAAACAAACAACUGAUAGGUGGAAUGUUUAGAAGUGUUUAUCUGUAGUUUUAAUUCUCCUGACAGGGAAAAAAAUCUGGCACGUCACUUCAUGGCUUUCAUCAGCUUAUGAGAUUGUACUACGCUGAUAAAUAUAAUCAUAAUUUGCUCUUACUAAUUAUUUUAAUGAGUGGAAAUUCUGUGUGGCUGUUGCUUACAGCACACAAAGUGCCAUAACUAAUCAAAGGGAGAAGGAAAGGUAUAAAAAGAUAGAGAAAGUGCGAAUAAAUUUAGGUCCAUUAGGAGUUACAUUUGAGGGAAUGAGUUGCAAAAGUAGAAAUAAUUGAGAGCACUUUGGAAUUGCAAAGUGUAAAAAGUGUGGACAAAGGGUACUACAGGUGUUGGAAUGAAAAUAAUGUUUCUGAGAACACUUUUUAUAUUUUGUGUGCAUGUUUAAUGGAGAAGGGAGACUGGAAGUAAAAUAAGAGAUGAAAAAGAUCCAUUACCAUCUAUGGGGCCUAAGAGAAUCAGAUAAAAUAAUAAACUGAGCAGUGGAUACAUUUCUCUGAUGUUCUAAGUAUUUAUAAUAACAUAAUAUAAUAUAACUGUGUCAUUUAAACUGUAAGCCACUGGCAUAUAAUGUUUUCCUGAACCCUUCUUCCUCCCCUGGAGAAGUCCCACUGGGCCAGGCUCACGCAAUGCGAUGAGAAAAGUAGCUGGCAAUGGUAGGUGCCUUUCCAGUUCUCUGUGGCACUGCCAGGUGGCUCAUGCAGCAGCUGAGCUGUACCCACUGCUCAGGCAGGACAUCCAUCUGACCCUUCCUUCCCUGCCUGAGUGCCAGCUCAGUGGAGCUGCGUGGGUGUAGUUAUCCCUCAGGCUUUUCAGCUCCUAUUUCAAAUUGCCUGAUGAGUUCAGAAGUUAUCAGGGGCAGAGUCAAAGGCCAAGAUGAAACUACAGAAAGCAGUUGCAUUCUGAAAUGAGGAUACAAUUAUUGUAUGGGUAUUUUCUGAGGUGUCUGCUGCUUACCAGAAAGUGUCCAUCCCAGAACUGUGGAAAGCAGCAGGUGGGUGAGGAGUUGGUGUGAAGUGCUUGGCUGCUGUGCUCGGAGGAGGAGGAGAAAGGGGAGGAGGAGGAGGGAAGUGUCAGCUCCUGCUUCGUUUCUGCGAACGCUGUCACAGUGGAACAGGCGAGCACCUCGCAGCCAUGUUAGGUAAGGGCAGCCGGAGCCAACUGUGUCCCUCCUUUUUCUGGGCAGGAAGUCCAUGAAAAUGUUAUGCUAGCCAUCAUAGCUGAGGGCAGAAAGAGCCCGUUCCAUCUUGGAUAAGGGAAAGGGAGCUCUUUAGGGGACUGGCACUGUCACAUUUAUCCCCUAUGGAGCUGGUGUCUGUUUCAGGAGGAUGAAAUGCAGAUGAGAUAGUUCAUGUGCAUACCUGGAAAACAUCGAGAUUUUGGCUUCUAAAACAUUCUGAACCAAGCAGUCAAAAGUAAGGAGAUGUUUCAGAGAAGUUUUCUCCAGUGUUAAAAAAAAUUGGUUCUAAUUAUCACCCCGGAUUUAGUGAAGGGGUUGCACAUUUUUAUUUUAGUGCUAUUAUUGUUCUUUAGUUUCAGACUUAUUUUCUGUUUAUGAUCUUUUAACUCUCUGACUGGUUGUAGAAAGAACAAUUGCAUUAUCUUUUGGCGUUAAUUUUGAAAGAAUAAGCAAUUCUACCAGUUUAAUCCUCUUUUGUCAGGUACGUUCUCCAUUUGUUCAGUUUUCUUUCAGAUCCUUCCCUGCUCCUAUUUCUGGUUUGCAUUAAAAAAAGGAUACUUGUAUCCAGUAUACAAAUGAGUGUCUUACCAACAUAACAUUUACAUUAAUGUUAUAUAUGUAGUGAGCAUAUACUGAAUAUACUAUUCAAUUUAGAUUAUGUAAUAAAAAUGAGUGUUUUAUACAAUGAUUUAAAAUCUAUUAUUUUUAUGUGCUAUAUCUCCUAUUAUAUAUUUAUGUAUGAAUAUAUAUAUAAUUAAUAUAUAUAAUUAAUAUAUGUUUAUCCUGUUUAUAUAUACAAUGUACAUUUCACAGUAUGUUGAUAAUACAUGUAUUUGGUAUACAUACAUAAGUACAAUGUAACAUGCAUACCAUUAAUACAUGUUAUGCUAAUAUAUAGCUAAUUUCACAUGCAGUGUUUUUUUCAUUUCAAAUUAAAUCAGGCAAGUUGAAAUAUCUGGCAUUUUCACUGCUUUAUCAUUAUAGCAGACCACAGUCAUCAUGUGACCAGCUCUUAUUUGCUUUUCUAUUAAUAUAUCAAUUUAACAGUCAAUAUUAAUAUUGACUUUUUGAAAUGUUUGAUGUUUUCUGUGGCUGUUUGAAAAAUGGAAAAGAUGCUUUAAAAAUAAUUACGA